rnacentral:rRNA from 1 species
UGGGGAAUUUUGGACAAUGGGCGCAAGCCUGAUCCAGCCAUGCCGCGUGCGGGAAGAAGGCCUUCGGGUUGUAAACCGCUUUUGUCAGGGAAGAAACGGCUUUCGCUCAUAUCGAGAGCUAAUGACGGUACCUGAAGAAUAAGCACCGGCUAACUACGUGCCAGCAGCCGCGGUAAUACGUAGGGUGCAAGCGUUAAUCGGAAUUACAGGGCGUAAAGCGUGCGCAGGCGGCUUUGCAAGACAGAUGUGAAAUCCCCGGGCUCAACCUGGGAACUGCAUUUGUGACUGCUUGGCUAGAGUACGGUAGAGGGGGAUGGAAUUCCGCGUGUAGCAGUGAAAUGCGUAGAUAUGCGGAGGAACACCGAUGGCGAAGGCAAUCCCCUGGACCUGUACUGACGCCCAUGCACGAAAGCGUGGGGAGCAAACA